UCAAACACAGAACAGAGAGACCGAGAGAAAAACUAAUGAUUCAAAUAAUCUUAGCCUUUGUGCCCACUCUGCGCAUCAGAGCCCUGGAGAGGAGAAGAAGGGAGGAGCAUCCCACACCCCUAAACGUUUUCUCCACAGAAACAGCAAAGUGCAGACCAUGGAAGCUGGAGGGAACAGGAAACCAUCCAGCACAACCUCUCAUCCAACAUAGCUCCCCUCUUUCCAGCAUCUUCAGUGGCUGGUCAACUCACAUCCAUUCAGAUACCUCUAAGGAUGGUGAACUCAUUUCCUCCCUCUAGCUCACCCACCUCAUGGCGAGAAAUGCUUCCUUCUAAGAAAUCCAGACCUGACAGUAAGGUCCUAGCUCUGCCCUCUGGAUCCUACCCAACCUGUUUGCCAAGUCCACAGGACUGUCUUUCACAAGGAACAAGGCCUGUGCUCCUCUGGAGGCUUCAUUUAUGAGCAUCCAUUGUUCUCUUAUGCGGCAAAUGCAGAGAUAGAUACAACACUGUUACGGCCUUCAUGAUGCUCAAAGAUGAGAAGGGGAGCCAGUUAUGGACACAGAAACCAACAAAUCGGUAAGGGAAGAAUAGAGUUAAAGGAGGCGCUGCAGCCAGUGGGGGCACCUGGAAGCUGGCAAGAGCAGACACUCCUUCACCGACACAUUCCCAGCAUAAAACACAGCUCCUGGCACACAGCUGGUGUUUAAUUAAUGCUGAAUGAACACCUGAGCCAGGGAUGCCAGGUAAGGGUUCCCUGGGAAGGUGUUCUCCAGGCUGGGGCUUGUAGGAAAGAUGGUAUUGGGCCAGGUGAGACUAAGUCUGAAAACACCUGGUUUUGUAAAAUCUUGAUUUACUUCCAACAUUGGAAAAUUCAGGAGAUUUCAUGUUAAAACCUGGACUUGUGGCCUUUCCUGAAAACUUGGAGGAUCUUGCAACACUGGGCCCACAAUUCCUCUGGGUGACCAUCUCUUCGUGCUGAGUAGCAGCUGAUCCUUCCAGACACGAGCUACAUUCUCCUCCAAUCAGCUUCUUACUAACGCUUUCUUGCCUGGUCCUUACAGGCGUCUGUGUAGACUCUUAUACUGAACCUGCACCUAUGGUUAUUUAGAAAGCUUUUAAUUCAGUGAUUCUCAGCUUGAAGGAUGAAGGAAAGAUAGCCUCUUAGGAUUUUUCAAACUACUCUCAUAUACCAGAAAGAUUCUCACACAGCUCCCUCCCACGAUCCUCCCUCUCCGCAUGCACAAUGAAAAUCCCUGUUAAAUGCCCCGCCUCCCUCCUGCCACAUUGGCAGAGCUCAAGUGUGGAACUUCCACCCACGAAGUUUCUCUGAUCCUGCAGGAAGAUGUGUAGACGCUUACUCUAACUCACAUAACAGCAGUCACCACGCUCUCCUCUCUAAUCAUCACUAGAGUUUGUCACCUAGCAACACAGCAUCCAUCGGGGUAGCAACUGCUCACCAAUUCAUUCAUCCCUUCAACAGACAUUGACUGAGCUGCUCCCACGCCUGGGAUAGGCAGAGACUCAAAAAAGAUGUGUUGCAUGAAUGAAUGAAGAUACCGGGAUGAAUGAGGCCCCAAAGGAGGUCAUACUCUGGGCAGGAGAAAAAGAUUUUUAAAAAGAGUUGAAAUACAGGUCAUAAUAGACGUGAGUGUGCAUAUGUAAAUUCCAAAGAGGAAGCCCCUGUCCUGUUUAGGGAAGUCAGAGAAAGAAGGGGGGAUAGUUCAGUUAGGUCUCGAGAGGGGAGCAGGAGUUUGUUAGGACAGGAAGAAGGAACAGGAGAAACCACGUUCCAGGACAAAGGAACAGGAAAGCAAAGGCCUCGAAGUAUGGAGCUGCAUGAUAUGUCUGGGGACAUAGGCAAGGUCAAUAU
rnacentral:lncRNA from 1 species